ensembl:lncRNA
ACACAGCACAUUCAGACCCCACUGUGGGCGGCCAGGCUGAGCGCCCUGUCCUCGAGCGCCCUGGGCUCCUCGCUGCGGUCUGCAAGCUCCCACCUCCGUGGACCAGUUAACCGGGAUUGCUCGGUCCCCUCUGUAUCCUGGUGCUGAAAUGAUGCCCAGACAGCUGAGCGGGCCUGUGGGCUCCUGCACCCACCUGGUCACCCAUUCCCUCCAUGAGGGCUUUUGAAGACAUGAGACAUCUUGACUUCUAUUUCCCCGACACCCGUCUCUCUGCCAGACCCAGAGGGCUCGCAGGAGGCUGUACUGUCCACAACCCGGCCUUCCGCGUCGCUGCCGAACAUCCGAAGAAGGACAGAAAGGCGAUGCACGUCUGUCUCUCGCCCCAGCCAGCUGGAGGUGCUCUGUGAUGACAGUCCUGGCAGACUAAUUCAUCAGGAGGUGCCAGUUGAGGCUCUGCCAGCCGUGCUCCCGCCACGCACCGCACCGUACCGUCCCGGCGUCGGUUUAACCAGCCACCUGCCCGCAGGAGGACAUCAGGCCCCUGGGAAACACGAGCCGGGUUGUCACCUUCGUGUCCCCAGGACUCUGCCAUGGCACGCAGGGCCAGGUGUCCGGUGAGAGUCCCAGCACACCCGCACGCUGGCGGAGCUACAGAGGUCACGGGUGCGGGCUCAAAGGCGACACGAGGCGGCUUUUACGUGAAGCAGCACUGCUGCACGGGCAUCGCGUGGCCACCCACGUGACUCUUCUCCGCAAGGGCCGCUACUCAUCUGAAAGGGAGCGAUCUCACCAUUUGUUCAGAAACGGUGCACUUCAGAGGGACAUGCUGGGCUGUUUCCAGAACUUGUUUAAACAGACGCGAGAUGGUCGUUAGGGUCCCUGUACUGUGAAUAACCUCAGUGUCCGUCCUGGCCACCCAGCCUAUGCGUGAUGAGGACGAAGAGUGGGAGAACACACUCUGUGUGGGUGGGUGUGUGCGUGUGCUCGUGUACGCGUGUGUGUGUGCACACUCACCUCUGUGGACACGUGCGUGUUUUAUGUACAGCUAGGAAGGACCAGAACAUGCUACCAGGGCAAACCUGGGGGACCUGGGUGUCCUCUUGGCGCGCACCGGAACCCUGCCUCUGCCCCUGCUAGCAGAGGGCAUAACUCACACACCAUCUGAGAGUGGGGAUCGCUCCUGCCAAAGCAGAAUGUUAGGAUGGACAUCGCAGGCACGGGAGGACCCGGGGGUGCUGGACUCAGCCGCGAGCCCCAUUCAAAAUACUUCAGGAAAGUCUCUGACUCCAUUUAAAGGGGGACGAUAUGGGCUUCCUUGGGGGCUCAGUGGUAAAGAACUCGCGUACAGUGCCAGAGCCACGGGAGAUGCGGGUUCGAUUCCUGGGCUCUGGAGGAGGGCAUGGCAACCCACUCCAGUAUUCUUGCCUGGAGAAUCCCCAUGGACAGAGGAGCCUGGCAGGCUACCACCCACAGAGUCGAAAAGAAUCAGAUACGACUGAAGCAACUGGGCACACAGGCACAUUAUGCCUUUGGAUCACACUUUACAGAAAGGUGGAUGAACAUGAUGGAGGGUGUGCCCAGGUGUGCCCUGCACCCCCUCCGCCACAGCCACCUAAACCCCCAUCUCUCUCCC